AUAUUUUGGCGCUCAUACCAGACAGGGUAUGGGGAUGGCCCUGGAAUUAAGAUUGUUAAAAAGAAUGGUUCACGUGUGGAGGGGACACCCCUAUGGAUCCCCAUGGAUAUUAGUAGGCUGGUGAAAGCGAGAAAUAAUGAUAAUCAGUUAUUGUUAAUGAAUACGAAAUUAUGAUAUGUUUUAUGUUACUGAUUAUACAUGAAAUAGUGAU
rnacentral:lncRNA from 1 species